AGGAGGAGGGGGAGGGGAAGGAGGAGGAGGAGGGGGAGGAGGGGGAGGAGGGGGAGGAGGAGGAGGAGGAGGAGGGGAAGGAGGAGGGGGAGGAGGAGGAGGAGGACAUGUCAGUUCCAUGAAGUUGCCCACUUUCUUCUACAUUUGAAGCGGCAGCCAUGGUCGCCUGUUUGUGAAGCGACUGCUGUUACGCUUUUCCUCCGUAGCUUAAUGACCCGCGAAGGUUUGGGAAAAUGAAAGCCCCGGCCUUAAACAACAAAAUCACAUCAAACAUUUUCAUCAGUUACGACAUUAGUUACGGCAUCACUUACGACAAUCAUAACGACCUAAGUUACAACAUCACUUACGACAUCAGUUAUGACAUCACUUACGGCAUCACUUGCGACGUAAAUAUGCUGCAUUUUCCAAGCAUCACCCCAGUGUUAAAGGAGGAUGGAUUCAACCCUCAACCUCAAAUAGCCAGUGAAUACGCGUGUAAUAACUCUAAAGGGCAGUUUGUGGAUGAGGCGGAUUAUGAUAAGUGGGUUUUAUUCAAUGCAUCCAUGUUUUGGAGAGUUUCGUUUUUGAGUUUUCCAUGUGCGAUAACUAAAAGUAGGCUAUCUCUCUAUUGGAAGAACAAAAUGUUUUUAUUGAUACAACUUCAAAUUUGAUCGAAAGCAACCUUUAGUCAAGUCCUGCAGGGCAAGUAAACAUUGGCUUGUUCUACCAACUGCUGUUGAAAUGAAUGAUCAAUACAUAUAACAGAUAGUGAUAAUUAUAGGUCUUUAAAUGUAGUUUUCCGCUGUAGAUGCCAUGAUAGCACAUUUUAUGAUUUGCUGAAUGUCGAGGUAAACAAAAAACUGUUUGCGGUUGCAGAUUGCCGAGAUAAAAAAAUAAAUAAGAACAAC